UUACCAUUAUUUCAAUAUUUUAAAAAAUUUAGGGGCAAAUUUAGCGUUAUUUAAUUUACAAGGUAACCGCAUGGGGAAAAUUGAUCUUAUUUGUACAUGUAUUUAAAGUCGAGACAUGUUAGUAUGGGAUGUUAAUUGCUAGACCCAGAGCGAUUUAUCAAGCAGAAGGCUUCAGAAUUUGAAUCAGCCGCCUUGGUCCCUUAGUCGCUUGAUGAUUUACUGCUCAAUUCCAAUGAAGAAGAAUGUCUCAUCUCUUUCAUAAUUUAUUGAACCUGGAUAAACCCUAAGCUCGGCUGUUUCAUGCCAGAUGAGAGAAGGCAUCAUUGGUGGCUUUGCAAGUAGAGGAUGUGAUUGGAGAUCCACAUGAAGGUAUAUGAUGGAUGUGAAGUCAGCAUUGAAAGGGGAUUUCAUGGGCAGAACCCAAUCUAAGUUUGUAUUGUUAAUAUAUUUAUGCUGGGUUUGUAUAAUUUUGCAGAGGAAAUUGAGUUUAUAUUAUUUGAUUUUGAAGCUUGUAGAAUUUAUGUUGUGGUUUGACUAUUGGGUUAGUGUUGUAGAAUAUAGAUUUGUAUUGUGGAAUUUGUGUUA